rnacentral:rRNA from 1 species
UACGGAGGAUCCGAGCGUUAUCCGGAUUUAUUGGGUUUAAAGGGUGCGCAGGCGGGGGAUUAAGUCGGCGGUGAAAUUUUGCAGCUCAACUGUAAAAGUGCCUUCGAAACUGGUUUCCUUGAGUGUAGAUGAAGUAGGCGGAAUUUGUGGUGUAGCGGUGAAAUGCAUAGAUAUCACGAGGAACUCCGAUUGCGCAGGCAGCUUACUAAACUACUACUGACGCUCAGGCACGAAGGCGUGGGGAUCAAACGGGAUUAGAUACCCGCGUAGUCCCUGA